UUCAUGUCCAGUGAGCAGUGCUGUGUCCUUCCCUUGUAGCAUUUGGGAAUGAUUUACUGGAAUUACAAAACCUAUUUUCCUUUUAAAUUUCAGCUUUGGCUCUGGCUGCUUUUUAGAAUAAUGCAAGAUAAAAACCACAUCUGAGGGCUAAAAAAAAAAUGAAGAGGGAAUAGGAGACUUGAUAUUUAAGCAGCUUGAAUGGUUUCUUUUCUUUUCUUUAUUUUUAAAGAAAUGCACUUGCCUAUGAUACUGUCUCUCCAGUGAAAUGAUUACUCCUCCAUUACUCUAUUGAUACAAUAUUGUGCAUGCUAGUGUUGUAUUUCUAUACAGUAGCUUGAAAUUUAUUAACUUAUACUGUAGGUGUUAUGUAUUCCUAUGACAAAAAAAAAUUAAGUCUUCUUAUAACUAUUACAGUGUAGGAGAACACUGAAUAUGUUCUCUGAAUGAGCCUUUGUGCUUUUUGUCAUGUUAUGCAGUGAACUAUUUUUAAGGUCUAAUCAG
rnacentral:lncRNA from 1 species